GACGAACGCUGGCGGCGUGCUUGACACAUGCAAGUCGAGCGGUAAGGCUCCUUCGGGAGUACACGAGCGGCGAACGGGUGAGUAACACGUGAGCAAUCUGCCCUUCUCAUCGGAAUAAGCGUGGGAAACCGCGUCUAAUGCCGAAUACGACCUCCCUUCGCAUGAUCGGCGGGGGAAAGCUCGGGCGGAGAAGGAUGAGCUCGCGGCCUAUCAGCUAGUUGGUGAGGUAACGGCCCACCAAGGCGACGACGGGUAGCCGGCCUGAGAGGGUGACCGGCCACACUGGGACUGAGACACGGCCCAGACUCCUACGGGAGGCAGCAGUGGGGAAUAUUGGACAAUGGGCGAAAGCCUGAUCCAGCAACGCCGCGUGAGGGAUGACGGCCUUCGGGUUGUAAACCUCUUUCAGCAGGGACGAAGCGAAAGUGACGGUACCUGCAGAAGAAGGACCGGCCAACUACGUGCCAGCCGCCGCGGUAAUAC
rnacentral:rRNA from 1 species